AGCGAUCGCGUUCUGGUUUAAGCUUCGGGGCUGGGAGGACCACACAAAGCACUUUGUCAUCCGUUAAGCCCUGAAGGGUUUUCGGAGGGGGCGCAAGGUCCCUGACUCACUCAACAUACUCGGGGGACUGGUGCGCAGCCUGCCGGGGCUUUGCUUCAACGGGUAUGAGGUGGGCUUGUUUGAAGUGGCAUUCCUCUUGGCCUUCUUCGGGGCGUUUCGUAUCGGGGAACUAGUAAGCCCAAAUCGGGCCGGGGGCAGGGGCGUCCAGCUCUCUGAGGUUAGGUGGGCAGCAGACAAGGUGGUGGUACAUC